rnacentral:lncRNA from 1 species
UUUUGUAUCUUUGCUUUCGUAAAUUGGAUUUUUCAGUCUUUCGUUUGAAAGGGUGGUCAUAGAACUAUAGAAGAGAACCUUUUUUUUCGUUUCAAGGUACUACAGUUCUAUCAUCUUUCUUUCUUUUGUCUUUUCUCUACAGCGUGUGGUAGAUUUUUCUUGAUCAUGAUAGAAGAUGAGAAUUGGAUAGUCUUGUGAAAAAAAUGUACUCCAGAAAGUUUUCUUUAGUUUGUCUUUUUAACCAUGAAGUUUUAUACUAGCUUCAUUUUC